rnacentral:rRNA from 1 species
UUUUUCCUACGGGGGGCAGCAGUGGGGGAUAUUGCACAAUGGGGGAAACCCUGAUGCAGCGACGCCGCGUGGGUGAGGAAGUAUUUCGGUAUGUAAAGCCCUAUCAGCAGGGAAGAAGAUGACAGUACCUGACUAAGAAGCCCCGGCUAACUACGUGCCAGCAGCCGCGGUAAUACGUAGGGGGCAAGCGUUAUCCGGAUUUACUGGGUGUAAAGGGAGCGCAGGUGGCAAGGCAAGCCAGAAGUGAAAACCCGGGGCUUAACCCCGCGGAUUGCUUUUGGAACUGUCUGGCUGGAGUGCAGGAG